rnacentral:rRNA from 1 species
UCCCUACGGGACGCAGCAGUGGGGAAUAUUGCACAAUGGGGGAAACCCUGAUGCAGCGACGCCGCGUGAGUGAAGAAGUAUCUCGGUACGUAAAGCUCUGUCAGCUGGGAAGAAAAAAAGGCUUUGGCUUUGGACGGUACCUGACUAAGAAGACCCGGCUAACUACGUGCCAGCAGCCGCGGUAAUACGUAGGGGGCAAGCGUUAUCCGGAUUUACUGGGUGUAAAGGGAGCGUAGACGGCAGGGCAAGUGUGG